CACUUCGUCACUUGUUCUGAAAUAAAUUGAUGGUGAAAAUUAAUAUCGUAGCUGCGUGUGCGUCAAGAUCGAGGCUGGUGCAUGCUUUUAUUGCACAUAAUAUACUGUAAAUAUAUUUAUUCUGUCCACAAUAGAACAACACGCUGGUGAGGGACGAGACGGACCACCCCCGAAAAAUUUCUGAGUUUUUUGACCCGUUUGAAUUCGUUUCCGGAUCCCCAGAGCGGCAGUCUGAUGCCUUAAAAUCACUUCGUUCAUUCGCUCGUCUAUUCUGGUACUAAGAGGAACCUUUUUAUGAAAUCCAUUAUGGAUUCAGCCAGGCCCACAAUGGGAUUGGGAGGCCAGGUGGUGAGGGAUGAAGCCCAACAUAUCCAGACAAACCACCACCUGAAAAUUUCUGGGAUUUUUCAACCUAUCCUGAUUCAAUUCUGGGUCCCCAGAGUGGGAGGCCACCAACUUAACUGCUCAGCCAUCUGGCUAUCAGAAAAAUCUGGACACUUUAUUAAUUCUUAUGCUAAGGGAAGAAUGCUUUCCAAAUUUUAAGAACUAAGACAAUUCGGGCA